rnacentral:rRNA from 1 species
GGACUACUGGGGUAUCUAAUCCCGUUUGCUCCCCUGGCUUUCGCGCCUCAGCGUCAGUAGAGGGCCAGCGGACCGCUUUCGCCACCGGCGUUCCUUCCGAUAUCAACGCAUUUCACCGCUCCACCGGAAGUUCCGUCCGCCCCUACCUCCCUCGAGCUGGACAGUAUCAGAGGCCCUUUUCCGGUUGAGCCGAAAGAUUUCACCCCUGACUUUUCCAGCCGCCUACGCGCCCUUUAAGCCCAGUGAUUCCGAACAACGUUCGCACGGUUCGUCUUACCGCGGCUGCUGGCAC